rnacentral:misc_RNA from 1 species
AGAAUAUUAAACUUUAGUUAGAAUUAUGAAAUACAAUAAACGAACCAAGCCCAAUGUUAUCUGGGUUGCCAAUGUGAAUGAUAUAAUGACAGAGCCAAAACACUUGUACUUUAUGAUACUGGCCCUGAGUUUACAUUAUAAAUUCACACUGGCCACUGAGUUUACAUUAUAAAUUCAUCAUUUAUCUUAAUGUGUUUAAUAGACCAGAAGCAACAGAAACUUUGAAAAGUUAUCCCCAUAAAAUGAACUGUCAGAUAUGUUUCUAUCCUAAAAUGUCACUAAUUUUGAAUGCCAUAUGAAACCUUAGAGUCGCAAUAAAUUCUAAGAAGAAGAAGACUUUCAUGGUAAAGAAUAAUGGUUGAUU